UACCCGCGCCCCUAGUGGUGGUCGAUAUUAUUGAGCCUUAAACGUCCGUAGCCGGUCUUCUAUCCUUGGGUAAAUCGGGCAGCUUAACUGUCCGAAGUCCGGGGAGACUGGGAGACUUGGGACCGGGAGAGGUCAGAGGUACUUCUGGGGUAGGGGUAAAAUCCUGUAAUCCUAGAAGGACCACCGGUGGCGAAGGCGUCUGACUAGAACGAAUUCGACGGUGAGGAACGAAGCCCUGGGGCGCAAACGGG
rnacentral:rRNA from 1 species